GACGAACGCUGGCGGCGUGCUUAACACAUGCAAGUCGAACGGUAAGGCCCUUCGGGGUACACGAGUGGCGAACGGGUGAGUAACACGUGGGUGAUCUGCCUUGCACUUCGGGAUAAGCCUGGGAAACUGGGUCUAAUACCGGGUAGGACCCUGGGAUGCAUGUCCUGGGGUGGAAAGCUUUUGCGGUGUGGGAUGGGCCCGCGGCCUAUCAGCUUGUUGGUGGGGUGAUGGCCUACCAAGGCGACGACGGGUAGCCGGCCUGAGAGGGUGACCGGCCACACUGGGACUGAGAUACGGCCCAGACUCCUACGGGAGGCAGCAGUGGGGAAUAUUGCACAAUGGGCGCAAGCCUGAUGCAGCGACGCCGCGUGAGGGAUGACGGCCUUCGGGUUGUAAACCUCUUUCAGCACCGACGAAGCGCAAGUGACGGUAGGUGCAGAAGAAGGACCGGCCAACUACGUGCCAGCAGCCGCAGUAA
rnacentral:rRNA from 1 species